GGUCAAAAGCCCAGAGCCUCAUCAGCAUCCCAGAGUCCAGUCUUUCAUCAUCCCAAUAGCUGGUUGCUGAAACUUGAGGUUCUACAGUAGAAGGAAUGCUGAGUUUAAAGUCUAGAGAUGUGAUUGAGUUCCAGUUUUACCUAUUACUGCCACUAUGACCUUGAGUACGCCAUCUUUGAGAGCCCCAGGAGUAAUGAUGACACAUGAAGAUAAAGACAAGAGAAAUAGCCAGCCCUGAUCAAAUACAUAUGAAGAAAUGCAUUC
rnacentral:lncRNA from 1 species